AGCAUUUCCCUCACUAAAUAUGCUGCAGAGCCCUAUCUACCUUCUCAACAUUAACACCCAGCAACCAGGAGAGGAGAGAGGCCUGGGGAAGACAGCCACCACCAAGUACACAAAGGUUGAAAGAGGACGUUUGUGGGAAGUAGACAUUUGUGAAUGUGGAUUUAGAAGAUUUUUCCCUGUGAUGAGCUGAGUCAUGGGUGAGAGCUGGAGAAAACAGAGUCUUCUCAAUGCGAAGAUGAUGAGAAUGGAGACUUUUAUGAUGAUCCACUUCCACUUAAUGAAUAGAGUUCCUGGUUGUUACACUUAAAUUGAUCCAAGAGAGGGUAUUUCUUUUUCUGGAGGCCAAUUGAAUGGUGAAAUGGAGUUGCAAAGCAUUUGGCAGCAUAUUGAUUUCACUGGACUAUUUAAGUCCUGUGAAGAGGUGCCUUCCACGAUGAUUGUAAGUUUCCUGAGGCCUCCCCAGCCAUGCAGAACUCCACCUGCUUCCCUACACCAAACUGCUGCGGCUUCAACCUCUGGGCAGGCCACCCCUCGGAGGAUAAUUUCUUCCCACUGCUGGGGCUCUCUCUGACACUGUGACAGCAAGGCCCUCCCGGGUGAGCUUCCCCCAACCUCGGGCUCCCACAGCUGCCCGUUCUCCGCUGUCAGAACAGGCGCCUGCCUUGCUGUAGCUCACAGUGGGGUAGAAUUAGGCUUGAGUUAUUCAGCACAGGAAGGAUAGGGAGGAGGAAGAGAAAGAGGAGAAGCAAGACCUAUUGAGCAGUUUUAAGUAGCAGGACAAAUUAAGAAAUAUGGAGCUUUCAGUUCCAAUUUGAUUGCUCCUCAAAAAACUCCUUGGUGGCCGGGCGCGGUGGCUCACGCCUGUAAUCCCAGCACUUUGGGAGGCCGAGGCGGGCGGAUCACGAGGUCAGGAGAUCGAGACCAUCCCGGCUAAAAACGGUGAAACCCCGUCUCUACUAAAAAUACAAAAAAUUAGCCGGGCGUAGUGGCGGGCGCCUGUAGUCCCAGCUACUCGGGAGGCUGAGGCAGGAGAAUGGUGUGAACCCGGGAGGCGGAGCUUGCAGUGAGCCGAGAUCCCGCCACUGCACUCCAGCCUGGGCGACAGAGCGAGACUCCGUCUCAAAAAACAAACAAACAAACAAACAAACAAACAAAAAACUCCUUGGCAUCUCUUUGGUUGUAGAAGCUGAAGGGCUACAGCUGACUUCAGCUAGUGGAGCAUGAAAUGGCCUCUUGCUUCCUAAUGGGCUGAGGGGCUAGGAUCAGGUACAGCAAAACACUACUUGGGUUUCUCUUAAAGGGAUGUGGAUUUUGAAGAGGUUCAAAGCAUUAGUUACUUACGUUAUUUCCAAUUUUUCCUUGAUGAGUAAUGCUUCGAUGAACAUUCCUGUAAAAAGUAUAUGAUAGUUUCCUUAGGAUCCAUUUCUAGAAUUGAAAUAAAUUGCUGGUUGAAACACUGAAUAAUUUUAAAGCUACACAUAUACAUGCAGAUACAUACAUACGCACACACACACAAAACUGUCCUAAAAGUAAACUAGCUUUUUACCAUAUGUAAUAUAUAUAGUAAAGCAAAGAAAUACAAGAACCAUCUUAUAACACAAAGAGAAGAAUCAUAUACCUAUAUAUCUGUACCUCUACAUAUCACAUACAUAGGUUUACUCAGGAUAUCUAGAAGCAUGCCUAACACAG
ensembl:lncRNA novel transcript